ACGCUGGCGGCAGGCCUAACACAUGCAAGUCGAGCGGCAGCGGGAAGUAGCUUGCUACUUUGCCGGCGAGCGGCGGACGGGUGAGUAAUGUCUGGGAAACUGCCUGAUGGAGGGGGAUAACUACUGGAAACGGUAGCUAAUACCGCAUGAUGUCGCAAGACCAAAGUGGGGGACCUUCGGGCCUCACGCCAUCGGAUGUGCCCAGAUGGGAUUAGCUAGUAGGUGGGGUAAUGGCUCACCUAGGCGACGAUCCCUAGCUGGUCUGAGAGGAUGACCAGCCACACUGGAACUGAGACACGGUCCAGACUCCUACGGGAGGCAGCAGUGGGGAAUAUUGCACAAUGGGCGCAAGCCUGAUGCAGCCAUGCCGCGUGUGUGAAGAAGGCCUUAGGGUUGUAAAGCACUUUCAGCGAGGAGGAAGGCGUUGUAGUUAAUAGCUGCAACGAUUGACGUUACUCGCAGAAGAAGCACCGGCUAACUCCGUGCCAGCAGCCGCGGUAAUACGGAGGGUGCAAGCGUUAAUCGGAAUUACUGGGCGUAAAGCGCACGCAGGCGGUUUGUUAAGUCAGAUGUGAAAUCCCCGAGCUUAACUUGGGACUGCAUUUGAAACUGGCCAGCUAGAGUCUUGUAGAGGGGGGUAGAAUUCC
rnacentral:rRNA from 1 species